AUGAAGCAGGGUUAAGAGGAUUCUGUUUUCAGCAAGUAGUGAAUUCCCCAGAAGCUUUUCCCACUUAGUCCGGAUGCAUCCAUACGAUGUGAAGUUGGGCUUAAUUGCUUCGUGUUGGUGGCAGAGCUCUGAAGAUGAGGACUGGCUUUCCUACUGGAGAGCUGGCCCGUGGACCAGGCAUCUAUUGCUGAGGCCAGAUGAAAAUGGGCCAGGGCCUCUGGCCACACGCUGCCACAGCCAAGAGAGAUGGAGCAAAGCCAUGCAGUGUCAACUUAGGUUUGAGAAAGGGGUCAGGUCAAAGUGCUGGAAGGACUCCCCAUCACUGAGUUCCUUGCCAUCAACACAACUGCAGAGCAGAGCAGAAGUGACCACACAUCCAGAGGCCACUGUGGAGGAAACACAGCAUCAGGCCCUUUCAACACUUAGUUAAUCCUCAUGUUGGCCCCAUGGAAUUAUUUUAUUUUCCUACUUUAUACACAGGAAGUCGAAGCUUGGAGAGAUUCUGUGAAUUGGUGAAGGACACAGAGCAAAGCCAGGAUUCAGAUUCAGACCUGCUUGACUCCAAGAUCAUUCCAGAAAUCUCCCUUUUCCUUUGGACCCUGUGACGUGACAGCUGGGUUCUUUCUGCUCUGAUUUCCAUGCCUGACAACCAUUUAAAUGGAAUACAAGAAUGCAGUUUUCUUAGGUUGAAAGAAAUUCACCCUUUAUCAAGAAUUAUUUAUAGUUCCUCUGGAGUGAGAGAGGAAGACAUUACCCACGCAGUGCUCUGUGGAAUCAUCUGAGCCACCACUUCUGCCUUGGGGACAUCAUCUGGGGAAGUAUCUAGAUCCUUUGGCUGAACAACGUGUUUUGAGGUCUUUAAUAUGUCACCUUAAGGAUGAGGCCUAGAGAACAUGGCCUUUUGUUGAACAGUUUGUAAGCUCUCAAAUGUGAGUAAAUGUGAGGAGGGUCUUGAGAGAUAUAGGAAGCUCAAGAAACCUAGCUAGAGUCUCUAGACUGUUGAGAAAAGUGGUGAGAAGAAAUUCCCAUUGUGGGGGAUGGGAGUGGUGGUUCAGGAGGAUUUUUGAGAAUGGGGAUAGAGAGCCUAGAAAUAAGGCCACACACCCAUGGCCAUCUGAUCUUCGACAAAGCAAGCAAUGAGUAAUGGACUCCUUGUUCAAUAAAUGGUGCCGGGUUGACUGAUUAGCCAUAUGCAGAAGAUUGAAACUGGACUCCUUCCUCACACCAUAUACAGAAAUCAACUCAAGAUGGAUUAAAGACUUAAAUGUAAAACCCAGAACUAUAAAAACUCUGGAAGACAACCUAGGCAAUACCACCCUGGAUAUAGGAACGGGCAAAGAUUUCAUGAUGAAGACACUAAAAGCAAUUGCAGCAAAAGCAAAAAUUGACAAAUGUGAUCUGAUUAAACCUAAGAGCUUCUGCACAGCAAAAGAAAUUAUCAACAGAGUAAACAGAGUAAACAACCUAUAGAAUAGGAGAAAAUAUUUGCAGACUAAGUAUCCAACAAAGGUCUCAUAUCCAGCAUCUAUAAGGAACUUAAACAAAUUUAUAAGAAAUAACUAACAAUUCCAACAAAAAGUGGGCAAAGUAUAUGAACAGACACUUUGCUAAAGUAGACAUAUAUGUGGCCAACAAGCAAAUGAAAAAAAGCUCAAUAUCAUGAUCAUUAGAGAAAUGCAAAUCAAAGCCACAAUAAGAUAUAUCAUCUCACACCAGUCAGAAUGGCUAUUAUUAAAAAGUCAAAAAAUAACCGAUGGCUGGUAAAGUUGCAGAGAAAAGGAAAUACUUAUACACUGUUAGUUGGAGUUUAAAUUAGUUCAACCAUUAUGGAAAGCAGUGUGGUGAUUCCUCAAAGAGCUAAAAACAGGACUACCAUUUGACCCAGCAAACCUAUUACUGGGUAUAUGCCCAGAGGAAUAGAAAUCAUUCUACCAUAAAAACAUGUGCAACAAAUGUUCAUUGUAGCACUAUCCAAAAUAGCAAAGACAUGGAAUCAACCUAAAUGUCCAUCAAUGACAGAUUGGAUAAAAAAUGUAGUACAUAGGUCCCAUGGAAUACUAUGCAACCAUAAGAAAGAACAAGAUCAUGUCUUUUGCAGGAACAUGAUGGAGCUGGAGGCCAUUAUCCUUAGCAAACUAAUGCAGAAACAGAAAACUAAAUAGUGCAUGCUCUUACUCAUAAGAGGGAGCUAAAUGAGGAGACAUCAUGAAUACAAAGAGGGGAACAACAGACACUGGGACCUCUUUGAGGGUGGAGGGUAGGAGGAGGGAGAGGAGCAGAAAAACAUUAAUCUUGUUGUACAGAUUAUUUUGUCACCCAGGUACUAAAUGUGGUACUAUUGGGUACCCUACCACUGUUUUAUCAAACAAGUUUCUGUAAUAGUAUAAAUCCUUUGUUGUCAUUACAACAAUGUUCAUGGCAUCUUCACCAGGAGUAAAUCUCAUCUCAAGAAACCACUUUUUUUGCUUAUCCAUAAGAAGCAACUCCUCAUCUAUUCAAAUUUGAUCAUGAGAUUGCAGCAAUCUGGUCACAUCUUCAGGUUCACUCUAAUUCAAGUUCUCUUGCUGUUUCUACCACAUCCACAGUUACUUCCUUCACUGAAAUUUUGAACCUGUCAAAAUUUGGUACCUUACUGUUGUGUACCAGGUUUAGUACCUGGGUGACAAAAUAAUCUGUACAACAGACCCCCCGUGAUACCAGUUAACCUAGGUAACAAACCUGCACAUGUACUCCUGAACCUGAAAUAAAAAAAAAAAAAAUGGGAAUUUUUAGGUUACAAGUUCUUUUUCUGUGAAAUAAGUCCCCAGCCAUUGCAUCAAAUACUCAGUAAAUCCUUCUAGCAAUAUGGGAGUGAUUUGGGCAAAAUCAGAAGAAACCCACAAAAACUCUGUUGCACAUCAUUGUGCUGAACCUCUAUUAAUCUCAGUAGGGAAGACACCAGGCUCAAGAGGCCAAAGAAGACACUCAGAGCCAGUAAAUGAGACAUGGGGUCUUAUUAGGGGCUUCCACACAAGGGAGACAGUGCAGCGACAGCGGGCUGGACAAGAUAACCACAGGGCCCAGUAGCUGCGGGCUGGAGAGGAAAACCACAACUGCCUGCAAAUGU
rnacentral:lncRNA from 1 species